UCUCUCAUAUUUCUCACUUUCUGUAUCUUUUAUAUCCGGUCUCUCUCUUGCAGAACAAUUCAAGGCUAUCAUCUACAGUCCGCACUCGCUUUCUUUGUGCAUUUCCCUCUUGAAAGUUCUCGCCGAGGCUUGUUUAGGGUCUUCUCUCUCCGAUCUCGCACCUCUUUUCGUAUCUCAGCUCGCAGAAGCAGGUUGGUAUCCUCUCUUCAUUUUUGUCUAUAAGAUUUCUAUGGGGAAAGGGCAAAGUCUGAGCAAAAUAAAAAGAAAAAGAGAAAGAGC